ACGUGUGUGGGCUGAAAAUUUUGACUCUGUAUCCGGCCCGAUUGAACGGCAUAAUCGAAGAAGCGAAGUUCUUCUCUCCUCUGCGUGCGACGGCGACUUCCUAACCUUUGCGCUUCAUCUCGCUAGCUGAAACUGUCCGAGUGAUGGUAUGCAAUCAAUUCAUUCACUUUCUCCUCAUCAUUGAAGAUUUCUCGCCUCCCCCAUUAACCGAAGCUACUGUAUAUAGAUCUUUGAUUGCCUAAACUCCCAGGGUGAACCAAGUUUCUACCUGUUUGGAUUCAUUAUGUAUUGCAACCACAGCUUGCGAGAGUGCUAAAGUAAGUUCUUCAAGGAAUUUUUCUAAUUUUUACAGUCCACCUUGGUCCAAGAUUCUACUUGGGCUCAUUUGGCUCAAAACUUUGAAGCACCUGCUGAAGGAAGAUGCCAUCUGUAACUAAACGUAUUCAACUUCACACGAAGUAACGACCACUUCAGUUCAUUGACUCACCAGUUUCCCUUCGCUUCAACAACCAGACUAAAUUUGUCAGUCCCAUGGCGGUGGUGUUAAGAACACCGUGGAAAUUUCCAGAAGGACAACGGAUCUGAAGGGCGACAGAACUUUAACAGUGGCGUUUGGGAGAAGGCUACUCACAAGGAGGUGUACGGUUCCGACAUAUGCCUUGAGGCUGAAGGUCGUUUGAAGACAGAAGUGAGACGCCUCACCAACAUUAUUCUCAGGCGGAUGUUUUGUCAACGACUUGGAUAUGGAUGUUUUGGCUAAGGAGGUGUACGGUUCCGACAAAUGCUUAGGUUUCUCUCUACUGAUGGACUUUCAGCAUCGUUUAAACAUUGCAGUUCUACUUGCCUACUCUGACUAGCACAAGAUUGCUGCAUAAAAAGAACCAUAUCUUAAAAACUGUUUCUUUGAAGAUCACAUGUGUCUUUAGCUCAAUUGGGUAUGUAGAAACUUUGGUGGUUUAUUUGUUGAACCUUAAUGGCUUUGUCGUUGUUAUGCCUUCAACCUAAGCAAAUUAUCAAUUGGAAAAUUAGAAACCUUGGUGCGGACUUUAUUUGGUUAAUUAGGAAACGUUGAUAUAUGCCAUCUGUAAAAGAAUAUCUUUGGUAAUACAUUUGUCACGCCUGCAAUUCUGAUUUGUGUUCAGCUCAAAUGGUAAAGAGUAGCUUUGGUGAUAUAUUAUUUGAACUUUAUUUUAUUCAAAAUAUGUGCAGUUGAAGACCAUACAGAAAGGAAGAAGACUUUGUUGAGUAAGGAUCUCGGAAAAGUUGGGUUAAAUCAAUUUUUUCUAAGGAACUUGAACCCUUUAUUUUUGAAGUGUUUGAUAUUAUAGAUGAGCAAUAUUUUUGAUUUUGCGGACAUGAGUUAGAUGGAAUAUGGUAACAUUUUUUCUGACAUGGAUGAGACCAACAAUUAGUUAUUCAACUCACUAGCA